UACAGAGGGGGCAAGCGUUAUUCGGAAUUAUUGGGCGUAAAGGGCGCGUAGGCGGCUUUGCCAGUGACGGGUGAAAUCCCUCGGCUCAACUGAGGAACUGCCUUUGAAACUGUCGGGCUUGAGGCCGGGAGGGGGUAGCGGAAUUCCCAGUGUAGCGGUGAAAUGCGUAGAUAUUGGGAGGAACACCGGUGGCGAAGGCGCUACCUGGACCGGUUCUGACGCUGAUGCGCGAAAGCGUGGGUAGCAAACAGG
rnacentral:rRNA from 1 species